rnacentral:rRNA from 1 species
GAUGAACGCUGGCGGCGUGCCUAAUACAUGCAAGUCGAGCGAACAGACGAGGAGCUUGCUCCUCUGACGUUAGCGGCGGACGGGUGAGUAACACGUGGAUAACCUACCUAUAAGACUGGGAUAACUUCGGGAAACCGGAGCUAAUACCGGAUAAUAUAUUGAACCGCAUGGUUCAAUAGUGAAAGACGGUUUUGCUGUCACUUAUAGAUGGAUCCGCGCCGCAUUAGCUAGUUGGUAAGGUAACGGCUUACCAAGGCAACGAUGCGUAGCCGACCUGAGAGGGUGAUCGCCCACACUGGAACUGAGACACGGUCCAGACUCCUACGGGAGGCAGCAGUAGGGAAUCUUCCGCGAUGGGCGAAAGCCUGACGGAGCAACGCCGCGGGAGUGAUGAAGGUCUUCGGAUCGUAAAACUCUGUUAUUAGGGAAGAACAAAUGUGUAAGUAACUAUGCACGUCUUGACGGUACCUAAUCAGAAAGCCACGGCUAACUACGUG